rnacentral:lncRNA from 10 species
CCAGUUCGAGCUUCCCAGCUGCUUUGUUUACCUAAUCAAGCCUGGGCAAUGGCGGGCGCCCCUCCCCCAGCCUCGCUGCCGCCUUGCAGUUUGAUCUCAGACUGCUGUGCUAGCAACCAGCGAGACUCCGUGGGCGUAGGACCCUCCACGCCAGGUGCCGGAUAUAAUCUCGGGGAUAUAAUCUCCCGUUUUUUAAGCCGGUCCGAAAAGCACAAUAUUCAGGUGGGAGUGACCCGAUUUUCCAGGUGGACAUUUGUGUUGAUUUCAUAUCUUUGCUAUUGUGAAUACUACUGCAAUUAACAUGCAAGUGCAACCAAUCAAGCUGAUGUCUUCAAUUUAUUCAUGUAUUCAUUCAUUAUUCAUUGAUAUAUAGCCAAUCAAGCAAGCAAGCAAACAAAAAUAUAUGAGUGCCUAUCAUGGACCAAAAUUUUGCUGGCUAAAGACUGAAGAAAUAGAAGAUAAAGUUUAAAUACAGUUCAUUUGUCUUCUUUAUAGACUCACUUUUUGCAGCAGACAAUGUGCUAUGUCUGAAACAGUAAAUUCCAGGGACCUUAGAAGAAAAUAA